AGAACGAACGUUAGCGGCGCGCUUAACACAUGCAAGUCGUGCGAGAAAGGGGCAACCCCGGUAAAGCGGCGCACGGGUGAGUAACACGUAGAUAACCAACCCCCAGGUGGUGGAUAACCUUCCGAAAGGAGGGCUAAUACAGCAUGAGACCACGCAUUCGCAAGAGUGUGAGGUCAAAGUCGGCCUCUUCAAGAAAGCUGGCGCCAGGGGAUGGGUCUGCGGCCCAUCAGCUAGUUGGUAGGGUAAUGGCCUACCAAGGCGUAGACGGGUAGCUGGUCUGAGAGGAUGAUCAGCCACACUGGAACUGAGACACGGUCCAGACUCCUACGGGAGGCAGCAGUGGGGAAUCUUGCGCAAUGGGCGAAAGCCUGACGCAGCGACGCCGCGUGAGUGAUGAAGGCCCUCGGGUUGUAAAGCUCUGUGGAGGGGGACGAAUAAGUCGUGGCCAACAUCCACGAUGAUGACGGUACCCCUUUAGCAAGCACCGGCUAACUCUGUGCCAGCAGCCGCGGUAAGACAGAGGGUGCAAACGUUGUUCGGAAUUACUGGGCGUAAAGCGUGUGUAGGCUGCUCUGCAAGUCGGAUGUGAAAGCCCUGGGCUCAACCUAGGAAGUGCAUUCGAAACUGCAGAGCUGGAGUCCUGGAGAGGAAGGCGGAAUUCUCGGUGUAGAGGUGAAAUUCGUAGAUAUCGAGAGGAACACCGGCGGCGAAGGCGGCCUUCUGGACAGUGACUGACGCUGAGACACGAAAGCGUGGGGAGCAAACAGGAUUAGAUACCCUGGUAGUCCACGCCGUAAACGAUGGGUGCUAGGUGUCAGGGGCUUUGACCCCUCUGGUGCCGUAGCUAACGCGUUAAGCACCCCGCCUGGGGAGUACGGCCGCAAGGCUAAAACU
rnacentral:rRNA from 1 species